rnacentral:rRNA from 1 species
UACAGAGGGGGCAAGCGUUGUUCGGAAUUACUGGGCGUAAAGGGCGCGUAGGCGGCCUUCUAAGUCGAACGUGAAAUCCCCGGGCUCAACCCGGGAACUGCGUCCGAUACUGGAAGGCUUGAAUCCGGGAGAGGGAUGCGGAAUUCCAGGUGUAGCGGUGAAAUGCGUAGAUAUCUGGAGGAACACCUGCGGUGUAGACGGCUUACUGGACCAUAACUGACGCUGAGGCACGAAAGCGUGGGGAGCAAACAGG